GGGUUCGAUUCCGGAGAGGGAGCCCGAGAAACGGCUACCACAUCUAAGGAAGGCAGCAGGCGCGCAAAUUACCCAAUCCUGACGCAGGGAGGUAGUGACAAGAAAUAACAAAGCAGGUGCAAAUGCAUUCUGCUAUUGGAAUGAGUAGAAUUUAAAUCUCUUUUCGACUAUCAAUUGGAGGGCAAGUCUGGUGCCAGCAGCCGCGGUAAUUCCAGCUCCAAUAGCGUAUAUUAAAGUUGUUGCGGUUAAAAAGUUCGUAGUUGGAUUUCUGUCGGGGACCUCCGGUCCGCACUAUGUGCGUGUAUCUGUAGGGCUCUGGCAUCCUUCCGAAAGACGUUGCUAUGCUUAAUUGCACGGUGCGGAGUUCGGAACUUUUACUUUGAGGAAAUUAGAGUGUUCACGGCAGGCCAAUGCCAUGAAUAUAUUAGCAUGGAAUAAUAAUAUAGGAUUUCGGUUCUAUUUUGUUGGUUCCUAGGGCUGAAAUAAUGAUUAAUAGGGACAAUUGGGGGCAUUCGUAUUAACACGUCUGAGGUGGAAUUCUUAGAUUGUGUUACGACGAACUACUGCGAAAGCAUUUGCCAAGGAUGCUUUCAUUGAUCAAGAGCGAAAGUAAGGGGAUCGAAGACGAUUAGAUACCGUCGUAGUCUUUACCAUAAACUAUGCCAACUAGAGAUGGGGCGUCGUUAUUUUUUGACUCGCUCCGCACCUUAUGAGAAAUCAAAGUUUUUGGGUUCCGGGGGGAGUAUGGUCGCAAGGCUGAAACUUAAAGGAAUUGACGGAAGGGCACCACCAGGAGUGGAGCCUGCGGCUUAAUUUGACUCAACACGGAAGG
rnacentral:rRNA from 1 species